GUGAGAAGGUCCAAGCUUACUUUCCCUUUGCCUUCCAACAUGAUGAACACACCCUUCAAAGUGCUAAUGCUGUUCCAGCUCAGCAGACACCUCGUCUCGGGAAAGCCAUUAGAAACCCCCAAAAUACUACAUUUUUCUCCUGAGCUUUGAACCCUGAACCCAGCAUUCUGAGAGUGGGAACCAGAAAUGUGCAUUUGAAAAGACUCCCCAGGCAAUUCUGAUGAGGAGCCAGUGAGCCUGCUGAACCAGUUAUUAAGCUGGAAGAGACAUGCUGGGGAGAAUGCUUUGGAGGAACAAGUAAGCACAGAACACAGAGAAUCAGGAAUGAAGCAUCCACACAGUCCAUCCAAGCAUACUGUGAAUCAAAACACAUGUCAUAGCUGGAACGAAAGCAUUAGGACCAUCUAACUGGAUUCCACUGGAAUGAGUCUCUGUGAAACCAUGCCGAAGUCUUUGUAAACAACCACCCUAAAGAAAGCUACAUGAAGAAUAGCCAAUAACAAAAGCACUGGAUUUAACUCAAUUUUGUGAAAAAACAAAAAAAACAAAUAUGAUGCACACACUCUAUCCUUUUGUGAACAAAAUGCCACCAAACAUUUGAAACUGGCCUAAGCAUACAUUGACAUGUUUGACAUGAAGCCCAGCCUUAUUGAUCAGCCUUUCCAAUACCCCCCGCCCCCCAUUCUUUAUUCCCAAUAGAUACAUCUUCUCACAGUUUCCAUGGCAAGAGGAAAAUAAAAGGCAACUGUUUUGAAAGCAACAACAGUAAACGAAGCAACAUCUCUGGCAAGCAGGCAAACCUUAAAGAGUAAAAGUUAUAAAUCCCCAUGUAGACAAUACCUUGUAGGUAUACCUUCCCCCAACCACGGGGAUGACUCUUAAUGGUGCUGACUAGGUAUAGACACCAACUUGGGACCAGUAAGUUAUUCUUAGAAGGUGCUAACUUUUGUAUUUUCUUUUAGGUUCUUGCUGCUAUGUUUCUCUUUCAAUUGACUUCCAGAAAUCAGACAGUGAAAUCAAUGGGGCUUUCCAGGCCACUGAAUUCAAAGUAAUCAGGGCAGGGUCAGAAUGCUGAUUGACUGUUUUCAACACACAGGGACCUGGAAUUUGGGUUCUAGCUCUAUCCCUCAGCACAGAGUCAGCAGACACAAUGCCCUAGAUGGUUGGAUUUUCUAGUGUCUGUGACAGGCAUCUUCAAAGCUGAUUCCUCUCCCUCUGAGAAAUCAAGGCCACCACCUUUAACUACUGACACAGUAGUGUACUUCCCGUACUGCAACCUCAGUCCCUUUUGUCACUUUUGCUUUGCAUUCAAGUGCCUUGGCCAGUGUUAACUGCAGCACUUUGAUUUCUCUUUCUAUAAAGACUAUCAAGUACCAAGUCAUUUGUUUCUGCAACCAUGUAACCCAAGGACAUAUUCUCCUGGAUGAAAUUCCAAGACCCCCCCCGCCACCAGAAGUCAGUGGAGAAUAGGCACAGAAAAGAUGAUGAAGGUCAUAGUUUCUAAUAAUUUGUUUUCUUUUUAAAAAAAAUUUUUAAUUUUUAUUUUUUUGAGACAGAAUCUCACUCCGUCACCCAGGCUGGGGUAUGGUGGCAUGAUCUCGGCUCACAGCAACCUCUGCCUUCCAGGUUUAAGUGAUUCUCCUGCCUCAGCCUCCUGAGUAGCUGGGAUUACAGCCGCAUGCCACCACGCCCAGCUAAUCGUUUGUAUUUUUAGUAGACACGGGGUUUCACCAUGUUGGCCAGACUGGUCUCGAACUCCUGACCUCAAGCGAUCUACCUGCCUUGGCCUUCCAGAGUGCUGGGAUUACAGGCAUGAGCCACCAAGCCCAACCAGUUUUCUUUCCUUUUUUUUUUUUUUUUUUUUUUUUUUUUCCUUUUUAAGGGAGGGGAUUCCCUCAGUGGGUUUACUUAGAGUGAAACGGUAUCUUGGCUUUGGACUUGCCCCUGCCUUCAUUCAUGUGGGUACUUUUUAUUUAACUUUUCAUUGUAGGUAGGCUCCCCUCUACCUAAAAAACCAAAGGGAAAAACCCCAAUUCUUUAAUUUACUCACAUCCUGUUACGCUUUCACAAGCUGUUCAUUUUCAUACCAAGCCUCAUCUUCUGCUGCCAACAUCCUAGUUUGAAGGAAAGGGGGAGACAGGUCAACUGGUAGUGGUCCUGUCCUCAAAGGGAGAGAACUCCUGGGUACCUCUUUCCAGCAGCCCUAGGCUAUUUCAAAAUGUCAGCAGGUCUAAUCCUAGAAGAAAACACCAUUUACUUCUCAACCUGCUGGGGCAUGGUGAGGUCUAAACAAUACAUUAACCAACAAAAUCUGCCAGUUCCUGAGAACUGCCAGAGAACUGCCUGAGAACUCAGAGAUAAACAGUAAGAGGUAUGGUCAACCUUCAGGGGAAUGAAGAGACUAUCUCAAUGCAGCAAAAAUAAAGGAAUUAAUGUGCUCUGCAGCUUUAGAAAGGAACUCUCCUUCCUGGGGGUGCCUCCGUGUCCCUGGCUCUAGGAGACUACCUAACCAGCAAGGUUGAUAGCAUGACCCUGGCUCCACUGAAAACUUGGGCCUAUAGACUGUCUUAUUCUAAAGGGUGCUUUUUAAUUCUAAUUUUUUUUUAAUUUUUAUUUAUUUUUUUUUGAGACAAGUUCUCACUCUGUUGCCCAGGAUGGAGUGCAGUGAUGCCAUUUAGGCUCACUGCACUUUUGACCUCUCAGGUUCAAACAACUCUCUCACCUCAGCCUCCUGAGUAGUGGGGACUACAGGCAUUCACCACCAUGCCCGGCUAAUCUUUUUUUUUUUUUUUUUUUUUUUGUAGAGACAGGUUUUUGCCAUGUUGCCCAAGCUGAUCUUGAACUCCUGGGCUCAAGCGAUCCACUUGCCUCAGCUGGGACUAUAGGUGUGAGCCACCGUGCCCACUCGAACCACUGGUCUUUUAAUGUUUUCAGCUCCAGCUGGCAAACCCAUUACCUGCUCUUCCUAGGCAGCAUCCCUUGGUCACUAUCCAGCCAUCUGUUACUGCCAAAGCAAAAGUCCAUGGCCCUCGAAGUGUGGGAACUCUGGCCAUCGGCUACUUAUCAUUUUGCCCUCUGAAAUCCUUAUAUUUCUUUCUGAAUUCACACACUCAGAAUUGGCAGUAUAUUCUUAAGCUAUGAAGUCCUCCACUAUAUGCCCAUCCCAAAAACCUAAGCGAGUAAGAUUAUUUAAUCUAGGAAAUGGUUAUUUACUCUAUAGAAAUCUGAUCUUCUCAUUGCCCAAUAACCAUGGAAUGCUGAAGAGUUGCCUCAGAUGGCAGGGAGCCUGCAUGCUAGCUCACACACUAUCCCUAAUAGCCAUUUAAUUUUGGGAAAAGACCCGUCUUUUCUCUGGACUUUAGUUUUCUCCUCUUUAGAAAUAAGAAGCUGGUUAGCCAAUCAGUCAUGUCUCUUUCAGGUAUAUGUUCUACGCUUUGCAACUGCAAAGUUGACAAUCUGAGAAUGUGUGCACGCCAAAGGGGCUUAAAAAAUAAUAUUAUCUAACACUUAAGCACUUGAUGUGUAUUAACUCAUUUAAUCCUUCAAUAACCAUAUGAGGUAGGUAUUAUAAUUAUUACCCCUAUAUUUUAGAUGAGAAAAGAAGAAAUAGAGAGAGGUUGAGUAACUUGACCCAUUAUCCAGUAGUUUUAAGGCUGGGGUUUGUAUUUUUAACCACCAUAUGCAGGAUAAUGGGCAGAUCUGAGGACUAAGCUUCCUUGACGUUUGCAUGCUUAGAAGGUUACAGAGGGAGUGUGAGAAUCACAGUUAAUCUGCAAAUCAAUGGUAUAUACCGAAAAUCAGGACAGGGGCCAGAGUGUCCUCACUGUUACCUGUUGGAUUCCCUUGGCAUUAUUUAGUGCACAACAUUACCAUAGGAAAAUCACAAGCACUUUUAUGGCAAUGGUGUAAAUUAGGAGGAUUCUGACAGUAAAGCCCAGAGUCAUUCCAAGAUAAAACGAUCAGUUUGGGAUCUCUUGGCCACCUACUGACCUGUCAGUGUAUUGAGGCAGUUUGGGGUAGGAAGUAUGUCAAAUGAUACUGGAGGAGGGAAUACAAGAGGCCGGGCAGAGAGUGACUUAUUUAUUAAUUAUCUAUUUAUUUAUUUUUGGUUGAGGCAGAGUCUCGCUAUGUUGCCUAGGCUGGUCUCGAACUCCCACCUUGGCUCCCAAAGUGCUGGGAUUACAGGUGUGAGCCACCAUGCCCAGCCCCAGAGAGUGACUCUUGACUAGUUUGGAGAAAUAAACUGACUUCAAGGGUCUUCAAAACACAGCCACUUGGAGGUCCUGACUGCCCUUUUCUGAUCUCCAGCAUGAGCCUCUGCAGAAGCAAGUGCCUUUCACUGAGUCUGACCCUAGCUGAGUGAGAUCUUUGCAGAGGAAAGGACAACAUGCUUAUUUUUUUUAAAUGGGCCCAUAAGAACCCCGAAACCAAACAAGAAAAUCAGGAAAGUUUCUUGUUAGUCUACUACAGACAGGUAGUGAUGAGAACUUGGAAUACUAUCUAGAUUCUGAGCUCAUUGCUCUAGGGCCCAGGGUCCCAAAUGGUGCCUCUUUUCAAUGCUUAUUUACCAUAGUUUCAUAGAAACAUGACCAAGUGUCAGUUAGUUCUUUACCCUUCGGGUUUUUUCCAUCAUUAAUCCUCUUGGCACAGGGUGGGGCUGAGCUGGGAACAAUAUCAUAUAACUCUAGUUGCAGCUGUCCUUAUGCAAACCAGCAUAUCCGCAAGUUACCAUGACCUUUUGGGGGAAACCAACAUAACAGUGCUGGUGGACACAGCUUCAGGCUGCUAGAGGUCACUGAUAUGUACCAUUGCAACUUGGAAGGAAUUCCAUAUAUUGAUACUUUCUUUGAUUCUAUCAACCAAACGGCUUUGUGGGGCACAUGCUAUAGUACUGAAUGAAAUACCUUUCUUUCCCUUGAGCCAAAAGCACAUAAUAAGCUAUAGAUUCUUUGCUGCUAUGCCAUUGAUUUACCUACUGUACUUUGUAACCCAGGAGGGCUAUGAAUCAUCCUUCCUAAUUUCAGCUUCACAAAACAGGUUGCUUUUAAUACAAUCUCUUCUUUAUCUAGAUUUAUUUGUUCUGAACCCUAACACAUUCUUAGGGCAUUAUUUCUUACUGAAGACAACUCUCCCUUAGUGUUUGUUUAAUGGUAAUUUUUUAUUCAAGUUCUUCCUGGGUGUCCGCUUGCCCUUUAAUUUUCUUUUUCACAGUGCUUUAUAUUCCUAGGAAUACCUGAGUCACAAGUGGUCAGAUUGCCAGCAUUCAGCAAUCCCAGGCAGGGGGCAGAUUUUAUUGCCUUUCUCUCUUCUCCUCCACGGGUUGCUCAACAGUGUUAACAUUCUGAUUUCUUUUAGGAGUGGAGCUCCAAGAUAAUCUCUUACCCUGCCCUUCUUACUCAUUAACUUUAAUUUCCAAAAAAUGCCGCCGAUACCAUUCAAACACUAGUUCAGGAAUUACCACGUGCUGGGCACUGUACUGGGUGCUGGAGAUACUGAGAAGAAGAAACAUGAUCUGUUCUCAGGAAGCUCACAAUAUGGUGAAUGUGAUAAUUAAGGUCAUGAUUAAACAAAGCAGGAAGUACUCCAAGAAAGGAUUUGGAAACUGCUCAGGAAAACAACUGGAUUCCUAAUAAUCCCUGAACAAUUCUUUUUUUUUUUCUUUUCCUGUGGACAUUAGCCUUUUAAUUUUUCCACAAGGAAUUCUGGGCCAAUUUAACUAAUAAAUAAUAACAGA
rnacentral:lncRNA from 1 species